UUGGACACUGCGGAUGUGCGUAUAUAUUCAGUGGAUGGUUUCUUCUUCUUGUUACCUUUUGAGAAGUAAACUAGGUAGCUUGCAGAUGCAUAUCAUAUCAAUCAGAACAAGACCCUCACUUCUACUCUCAACUUUAUUUCUGCUCCUGCUGAUCCUGCCACCCACGAAGCAGGAAGAUAUGGUUCGUGCUAGUCCUUACCCAAUAUGCUAUCCAGGAGGCCAUAAGGGUUGUUCUCGCACAUGUCCGCCGAAGCAUACUUGUACCACUAUUCCCUGCGUUGUUCCUCGACCUUGCAAUCGUCACUCCACAACGACUUGAGCAGUUUGUCAAGAUUUGCAUUAGGCCCUGUUUGGAAUGAGUGUAUUUUUUGUUGUUGUCCAUUGGUAUUUAGUUCAAAUUCAAGCUAAAUACUAUCCCGCAAAAAAAAAUUCAAGCUAACUACUGAUGGCACACAAAUUUUACACCCAUUCCAAACAACCCCUUACUGGUAAAAUACAUCCUGGUCCGGCUUGUAAUUAUGGAUCAAUUAUUUAAAUCCAGGAAUGUACACAUGCAGCAUCAUAUUUGAUGGGAUUUUUAAGUUCUGAGUUUCUCUGAACGCAUACCAGAAUUGUAUCAAGCGUAUUCAGUUCAUGCAAUCAACAGGUAAUAAUUUUUUGUUGA